rnacentral:rRNA from 1 species
GAUGAACGCUGGCGGCGUGCCUAAUACAUGCAAGUCGAGCGAACAGACGAGGAGCUUGCUCCUUUGACGUUAGCGGCGGACGGGUGAGUAACACGUGGAUAACCUACCUAUAAGACUGGGAUAACUUCGGGAAACCGGAGCUAAUACCGGAUAACAUGUUGAACCGCAUGGUUCAACAGUAAAAGACGGUCUUGCUGUCACUUAUAGAUGGAUCCGCGCCGCAUUAGCUAGUUGGUAAGGUAACGGCUUACCAAGGCAACGAUGCGUAGCCGACCUGAGAGGGUGAUCGGCCACACUGGAACUGAGACACGGUCCAGACUCCUACGGGAGGCAGCAGUAGGGAAUCUUCCGCAAUGGGCGAAAGCCUGACGGAGCAACGCCGCGUGAGUGAAGAAGGUCUUCGGAUCGUAAAACUCUGUUAUUAGGGAAGAACAAAUGUGUAAGUAACUAUGCACGUCUUGACGGUACCUAAUCAGAAAGCCACGGCUAACUACGUG